rnacentral:sRNA from 1 species
UUCUAGCCCCGGUAGUAGCGGCAUCUCCCGAUUUUAAAAAACAAGGCUUUCUCGGCCGUAGUUUUUUUAAUCGGGAAUACAGCGGAUAACGGGAAAAAGC